AUUGAACGCUGGCGGCAUGCCUUACACAUGCAAGUCGAACGGCAGCACGGGAGUAAUCCUGGUGGCGAGUGGCGAACGGGUGAGUAAAGCAUCGGAACGUGCCCAGUCGUGGGGGAUAACGUAUCGAAAGCUACGCUAAUACCGCAUACGAUCUGUGGAUGAAAGCGGGGGACCGUAAGGCCUCGCGCGAUUGGAGCGGCCGAUGUCAGAUUAGGUAGUUGGUGAGGUAAAGGCUCACCAAGCCGACGAUCUGUAGCUGGUCUGAGAGGACGACCAGCCACACUGGGACUGAGACACGGCCCAGACUCCUACGGGAGGCAGCAGUGGGGAAUUUUGGACAAUGGGCGCAAGCCUGAUCCAGCAAUGCCGCGUGCAGGAUGAAGGCCUUCGGGUUGUAAACUGCUUUUGUACGGAGCGAAAAGGCUUCCACUAAUACUGGGGGCUCAUGACGGUACCGUAAGAAUAAGCACCGGCUAACUACGUG
rnacentral:rRNA from 1 species